CCCUCUCUGACAAUUUCUCUAAACCGCUUGAUUUGUCUUUGUUCAAGCUUCUGGUUGCCCUAAAGCAGGUUCACCUUGCAAACCCUGCUGAACAGCGUGGGAUCAUCUGAGCUUUCCAAAUUCAAUGUGAUUGCCACAGUUGAAGACUACUCCCUGAAAGGGACCAAAAUCACAGCAGGCUUUGCUAAUAAGGCUGUAACUUCACGAGAUUUGCACUGUAACUUUGAGGAAAUUUCUACAUGUUGGUCAAUCCACAAGCAAUUCUUUUCCAAUAGGAACUCUGAGGGAAAGGCUGCUGCCUAACAGAAAACUACUGGUCUCAUCAUGAAGAGGCUGAGCUAGAAACUCUUUACUGAGCUCGUAUUUGCUCCUCCCUGCCCAGAACUCCUAAGACAUUGCUGAGGAUCCUUGGAUUGACUGCCUGUGCUCCACACCUGGAGCUGAGAUCCAUCCCAGCUCUGGGAUCUUGAGCCAGCUGCUGAAGGAUGCUGCCGUGAGAAGCACAUGUCUGGUUAAUUAUUCUUAAAUGAUCAUAUUUUCUGUGAUCUUUUAUUUUGUCUGAUCCUUGACCCUUUUAGGCCAAGAAGGCAAACCUGAAAAUGAAGUUUAUAAUUUUGAUUUAAUUGCAUA